AGAAAGUUUGAUCCUGGCUCAGGAUGAACGCUGGCGGCGUGCCUAAUACAUGCAAGUCGAGCGAACUGAUUAGAAGCUUGCUUCUAUGACGUUAGCGGCGGACGGGUGAGUAACACGUGGGCAACCUGCCUGUAAGACUGGGAUAACUCCGGGAAACCGGAGCUAAUACCGGAUAACAUUUUCUCUUGCAUAAGAGAAAAUUGAAAGAUGGUUUCGGCUAUCACUUACAGAUGGGCCCGCGGUGCAUUAGCUAGUUGGUGAGGUAACGGCUCACCAAGGCAACGAUGCAUAGCCGACCUGAGAGGGUGAUCGGCCACACUGGGACUGAGACACGGCCCAGACUCCUACGGGAGGCAGCAGUAGGGAAUCUUCCGCAAUGGACGAAAGUCUGACGGAGCAACGCCGCGUGAGUGAUGAAAGGCUUUCGGGUCGAAAAACUCUGUUGUUAGGGAAGAACAAUACAAGAAAUACUGCUUUGUACCCUUGGAGGUACCYUAACCGAAAGCCACCGGCUAACUUCCUGGCCAACCACCGCGGGUAAUAAGAUAGGUGGCAAGCGUUUUUUCGGAAUUUAUUUGGGGGAUAAGGGCCGCACAGAGCGGUUUCAUAG
rnacentral:rRNA from 1 species